UGGCAAUAGCAUCGCCAGGAACCAGAGCUUUGGGAACCCUUCCUGCCGGGCGAAAGGAUGAAUAGGCAGACUAUGGGGCUAUAAACCCAAGCUAGGCACAAGGUUUUUUCUUUUUCUUUUUCUUUUUUACAGGGUGGGUGUCUUUUUGUAAAAAAAAAAAACAAAACAAAACAAAUCUUUCUUGUCCCUGGGAUAUGACCAACUCUCAGAAUGUACCACAAUAAGCAGGUCCAGGAUGUCCUGUCUGAUGUGUGGAGGUCUCUCCGUGGGCUCUUCCAGGCAUCUCCACUCUCUCCCCAAACAUCUAACUUGACUGUAGACUGGCUUGGCCUGCUGGCCCAGAUGUCUCAGACAAUCCAUAAAGUCAGUGAAUUAAUUAUAGGCUCAGGCCCUCCGGGUUUGGUUUCUACCCCAAGGCCUUUGAGACAGACACACAGUGGAUCACAUUGCCAACCCAAUGCUGAGUGACCUCCUAUUUCCUUAAUUCAUUUUAUUUUAGAUUCUAGAACCACAAAAUGUUGCCUAUCUAGACUGGCACUGUAAGCGCUGCUGAUUGUGCGAGCCUGUCACGUACACUAGGGCAUCCUACCACAGAGCCGAACACCCAGCCCCUGUUAUUUUUGUGCAUGUGUGUGUUCUGCCUGUACAACACCGAAGAGUGUGGCCCCUAACCUCCUCUGGCUGCUUAGGAAAAGGAAGUUGAGGGAGGGAAAGCAGGAGCCUGUAAUCACAUAGUUCUUCUAAGUGAGGCCAGCCACCCAGAUCCCAGAUCCCAUGAGCCCCUGGCCACAGUUCUCCUCAGGAGGCAGUGGGGUGAAUAGCUCAGUAAUAAAGAGCUAAGGAGAAGUCCCGAGUUCCAUUCCCAAAACUCAGGCAAAAAGCCAGCCUGGCACUAAAAUACUAUAAUCCCAGUACCUAAGAGGCAAGAACUAGUUAGUGGAUCCCUGGAACUCACUGGCCAGCCAGCCUGCCUUAUUUGGUGAGCUCAAGGCCAGUCGGGCUUUGUCUCGGGGGGGGGGGGGGAACAGUAGGCAGAUGACCUCUGCCUACACACAUAGAGUGACAGGGGGUAGAGGUAUGACUGAAGGGUUUGAUUCUAGCACUGCAAGGGGGUUCAGAGUAAAGGUUCUAUGUGGGAAUAGCGGUAGAUGCCCAUAGUCCAGAACUCAGUGAAUUGAGGCAGAUGAAUCUAGAGCUCAAGGUCAAUCUAGUCUACCAGAAAAGGGAGGUGAAAGUUAGGUAAAUACCCAUAAUGCAAAGGGAAUGCAGAGGCAAGAGGAUCCCCCUGAAACUUCAAAACCAGCCCGGUCCACAAAGCGAGUUCCAGGCCAUUGAGCUCUAUGUAGCCAGCUGCUAACUCAAAACCGAGGGAGGACACCAAUUCCCUAACACAAUUUUGCAUACAAUCUGAGGGGGCCAGGCAAGAAUUCCAUGGAACUCGGUCCAUUAAUCCCAGGAUGGACACUAAUUUAGUUCAGUGCAUUCAUCUUCCAAAUGUGGAAAAUGAAGCCCUGAGACAGGCAGAGAGUACUCCAGAGUCACCCAGUCAGUGAGUUUCGGGGCCCUCAAGAUCCAGCCCCCUCCUCUGACCUCCCUUGGCUGUGAGGGAUGAGGGACACAGUGAAGCUUCCCGCCUGGCUGAGGACCCAGCUGGGUGUAGGGGUCGGGUCAGGAGUUUCCAUCUCGGGGAGGAUGGGGGAGGAGGGACUGUCACAACUUUGAGAAGAGAACAAGAUGCAAACUGUUUAGACCACACUGCCUCAUACUUCUGACACCCCUGCCUCCAACCAACUGCCCACCACCAGACUCCUGGUCCCUACACGGAAGUCACCCGUGACCCAGUCCAGAGGAUGAGGCACAGAAAAAAAAUCAUACUUCGAGGUGCCCAGUUCCCCAAUGCUCACCGCCAACUCACUGGUCACCAGUCAUGCCCAGGAAGCGGAGGAGGGUCUCCCCGCCCCUUUAGUUGUCUCCGGCCUGCGGUCGAGAAUGGGGGUGGGAGGCUGUAACUGUGGAAAGUUGGCAGAGGCCGCCGGCAGCAGCCGGGAGAGUGGAAAAAAUGAUAUCAAACCCGGAAAAAUGCAGGCCGGAUGGAGGGCCGGGUGCGAGGGAGGGGGAGGGGGAAACAGCUGCCUGGACCAAGAAUCGAGAGAAGAGGCCAACCAGAGUUUCCCAGUGGGCCUCGAGAACCACGAACAAGCCCUGUCCUUCCCUUCGUUCUUGCUCCACGGGUUUUAUUGAGGGACUACUAUGUGCCAAGGCAGAGAGCCAAGCCCUGGGGAGACAUCGCUGGCUGCCUGAAGCUCACCCCAGAUGGUGGGAAGGUACAUUAGAGAACGGGGAUUAGGGGGUCAUCAGGGAGGGCUCCUCAAUUCACCCAGGAGGAAGGUGAAGUCAGAAAGAGGAGGUCUUCCACCAGGCCACUCAGAAUGGAAAGGAAGCCAGGAUAGGGAAUGUGGCUAUGUGGACAGCCGAGAGCAUGCAGCCAGGGGUCAACAUUUGAACUCUGUUCCCUCCCCCUCUCUGUGCCUCAUUUCUCCUCCCCACUAUAAAAUAAGAUUCGUGGCAAUCCCCUGCCCCAAACCUGACUCAAGGAUUAAUUGUUUUAAGACAUAUCAAACGGGAGUAGGGAGACGGCUCAGUACUGCUCAGAGUCAAAGAGCCAAUGCAAACAGCCAGGUACCAUGUCACAGGCUUGUGAUCGCAACACGGAGGAGACAGAGAUGCAGAUUUCUGACCCUUGGUGGACCACCAUCUUAGCUUACUCUGUGAGUUGUAGGUCCCAGUGAGAGACCCUGUCUCAAGGUGAGGCCAGGUGCUGCACACCUUUAGUCCCAGCACUGGGGAGGAGACCAGCCUGGUCUACACAGCAAGUUCUAGGACAGCCAGGGCUACACAAAGAAAGCUCAUCUUGAACAAACAAACAAACAAACAAACAAACAACCAGUGGAAUGGAUGCCUGCAGAGGCCUAGUACCUGAGGCUGGCCUGUAAUAUCUCCACACACGCAUGCUAUUGCAUUUUAAGACCUUGGACGAGUCCAGUGUUGAGCGGGAGUGAGUCUAAACUGAAGAUUUGCCUGGAAAUUUCUGCCUGGAUAUGCCACUGGAGGGCUUUGGGAAAUUUUAUUUCUUCCUUAGACCUCAAUUUCCCCAUCUGCAAAAGAAAGGGACUGAAUCC
rnacentral:lncRNA from 1 species